rnacentral:rRNA from 1 species
AUGGGGCAUCACGAAACUCAUGGUAUCUGUACCAUUCUCUCCCUACUCCUACUGUGGAGUACCAUCGUAUCCGCCGGAGACGAUGGCUUGGUCCGUAUUGCUUUGAAGAAGAGGCCGCUAAUGGAAGACAUCUAUAACAAGCUAGUGCCAAAGAUUACAACGGAGAACAGCGGGGCAGGGAGUAAGGUUGAUCCGGUGAGGGAAGCAGUUAACCAAGUUCGCGCCCAGGCACAAAGGAUAUUCACAGAGGCUGCGGCCAUGGAACAGCUGCUCAAGCGCCGUUGGAGUCACAGAGGGAUCGGAGGAAACAGACGUGUGCGCCAAGGUUACCAGGCCGUCGUCCCGCUCAAGAAGUACGUGAACGCUCAAUAUUUUGGGCAGAUUGGGGUUGGCUCCCCGCCACAGAAUUUCACGGUGGUCUUCGACACGGGGAGCGCCAACCUCUGGGUCCCUUCCGCCGAGUGCUUCUUCUCCCUUGCUUGCUACUUCCAUCCCAAGUAUGUAUCAAGACGGUCCAGCACCUACAAGGAGAACGGAACACCUGCUUCCAUUCAUUAUGGAAAAGGAGCAAUUUUUGGAUUUUACAGUCAAGAUCAAGUAACUAUUGGUGAUCUAGUUGUAAACAAUCAGGAAUUCAUUGAAGCUACUUACGAGCCUGGCUUUACAUUUUUAGCAGCAAAAUUCGAUGGCAUUCUUGGACUUGGAUUUAAGGAAAUUUCGGUUGAAGGCUCUGUUCCAGUCUGGUACAAUAUGGUUGCACAAGGCCUUGUGAACCAACAUGUUUUCUCCUUUUGGUUAAAUCGAAAUGCAAACAAUGGGGAUGGAGGUGAAAUUGUUUUCGGAGGUAGUGACCCCAAACAUUACAAAGGCAGCCAUACAUACACCCGAGUAACCCAGAAAGCAUACUGGCAGUUUGAAAUGGGAGACUUUCUUAUUGGUGGGAAGAGCACUGGAAUUUGUGUGGAUGGAUGUGCGGCAAUAGCAGACUCCGGAACUUCAUUGAUUGCUGGUCCAAUAGGUGUCAUUGCCCAGAUCAAUGAGCGAAUUGGAGCCACUGGAGUGGCUAACAAAGAGUGCAAACAAGUUGUUUCUGGAUAUGGACAAGAAAUGAUAGAGUUGCUGAAAUCGGAGACACCACCGGCACAAGUGUGUUCGAAGAUUGGGCUCUGCGCAUUUGACGGAACUAGAGGAGUAAGUGCUGGUAUUAAGAGGGUAACGGAAGAGGGACGAACAACAUCUGUAGACAACAUGUUUGAUGCUACAUGCAAUGCAUGCGAGAUGGCAGUGAGGUGGAUGCAAAGCGAAUUCGUUCAGAAUCAUACCAAGGAGGGCAUGUUGGAGUAUGUCGGUCGGCUCUGCCACAGUAUGCCUAGUCCCCUAGGAUCAUAUGUGGACUGUAGACACAUUGAUUCCCUGCAAAGUGUCUCGUUCAGCAUAGGCGGAAGGAUAUUUGAGCUCCAACCAGAACAGUACAUUCUCAAGGUUGGCGAUGGAUUCAUGGCUCAGUGUAUUAGCGGAUUCACGUAUUUGGACAUUCCCCCUCCAGUAGGCCCUCUCUGGAUAAUGGGUGAUGUCUUCAUGGGAGCAUACCACACCGUCUUUGACUAUGACAAGAUGAGUGUUGGCUUCGCGGAUACUGCAUGA